GGCUUCGGCCCUAGUGGCGAACGGUCGCGUAACACGUGGGCAACCUGCCCUGAAGCGGGGGAUAACAGUCCGAAAGGACUGCUAAUACCGCAUGUGGACCGAGGAGGCAUCUCCUCUGUCUAAAGGAGUAAUCCACUUCAGGAUGGGCCCGCGGCCUAUCAGCUAGUUGGUGGGGUAACGGCCUACCAAGGCUUCGACGGGUAGCUGGUCUGAGAGGACGACCAGCCGGAUUGGGACUGAGAUACGGCCCAGACUCCUACGGGGGGCAGCAAUUAGGAAUCUUGCGCAAUGGGGGAAACCCUGACGCAGCGACGCCGCGUGGAGGAUGACGUUCUUCGGAAUGUAAACUUCUUUUCUCAGGGAAGAAAAAAAUGACGGUACCUGAGGAAUAAGCCCCGGCUAACUACGUGCCAGC
rnacentral:rRNA from 1 species